AUUGAAUGCUGGCGGCAGGCCUAACACAUGCAAGUCGAACGAGUGGCGGACGGGUGAGUAGUGUCUGGGACACUGCCUGGUGGGGGGGGAAAAACUCUGGAAACGGUAGCUAAUCCCGCAUUCCAUCAGAUGUGCCCAGAUGGGUUUCGCUUGUUGGUGGGGUAACGGCUCACCAAGGCGACGAUCCCUAGCUGGUCUGAGAGGAUGACCAGCCACACGGGAACUGAGACACGGUCCAGACUCCUACGGGAGGCAGCAGUGGGGAAUAUUGCACAAUGGGCGCAAGCCUGAUGCAGCCAUGCCGCGUGUAUGAAGAAGGCCUUCGGGUUGUAAAGGACUUUCAGCGGGGAGGCGUUACCCGCAGAAGAAGCACCGGCUAACUCCGUGCCAGCAGCCGCGGUAAUAC
rnacentral:rRNA from 1 species